rnacentral:tRNA from 1 species
GGUCGGUUAGCUCAGAUGGUAGAGCAAUGCCUUUACACGGCAGAGGUCGCGAGUUCAAGCCUCGCACCGACCACCA